AGUUUGAAUCCUGGCUCAGAUUGAACGCUGGCGGCAGGCCUAACACAUGCAAGUCGAGCGGUAGAGAGAAGCUUGCUUCUCUUGAGAGCGGCGGACGGGUGAGUAAUGCCUAGGAAUCUGCCUGGUAGUGGGGGAUAACGUUCGGAAACGGACGCUAAUACCGCAUACGUCCUACGGGAGAAAGCAGGGGACCUUCGGGCCUUGCGCUAUCAGAUGAGCCUAGGUCGGAUUAGCUAGUUGGUGGGGUAAUGGCUCACCAAGGCGACGAUCCGUAACUGGUCUGAGAGGAUGAUCAGUCACACUGGAACUGAGACACGGUCCAGACUCCUACGGGAGGCAGCAGUGGGGAAUAUUGGACAAUGGGCGAAAGCCUGAUCCAGCCAUGCCGCGUGUGUGAAGAAGGUCUUCGGAUUGUAAAGCACUUUAAGUUGGGAGGAAGGGUUGUAGAUU
rnacentral:rRNA from 1 species